GUUAAGACAAGCAAGAUACUGGUAAGAAAAGUGUCUAAUAUUAUAAAAUAUUCUCCUUGAACUGCUAGGAGUGAACAUACAUACAUACAUUUUAGAGAACAGACAACAUUCUAGAGAAAAAAUUGCUAGUUUUAAAACACCUUUAUUGAAGAGUGAUAUAAUUGUGUCAGCAUUUUUCCACACAUCAAGAAUUUUGACUGUUGAAUUCUUUGGAUUUUGAAACCAUCUGUAAGAUUUGAUUGGGAAUACGUUUCCAAUUUAGAGAAAAAUUGCUAGUUUUAAAAUACCCUGAUUGUAGAGUAAUAUAAUUGUAUCAGCACUUUCCACACAUCAUGAAUUUUGACUGUUGAAUUCUUUGGAUUAUGAAGGCAUGUAGAAGAUUUUAUUUGGAAUAUAUGCCCCUUUUGAGUAGAUUAUAAAUUGCCUAUGUCAUUACUGUAAUGCCAUUGAUGUUAGAUUAGCAAUUGUAGCAAAUGAUAGUUGGAUUCCAUUGAUGACAGGUAAUGUAAAAUUGUAUAGAGUUCGAUAAGCAAGACUUUGAAAUUUGAACCUUUGGUUUCAAUUUUGUCUUGGUCAAACCUGUGGAGGUUUUGGAAGCAUCUUUUGU
rnacentral:lncRNA from 1 species